AUUGGCUUAGUUUAUAAUAAAACGUUAGUUUGUGACAUUAAAAAUAGGAAGAAUUCCUAGUUAAUC
rnacentral:tRNA from 1 species